GCGGAGGGAUCAUUACUGAGUGAGGGCCUUCGGGCUCGACCUCCAACCCUUUGUGAACACAACUUGUUGCUUCGGGGGCGACCCUGCCGUUUUCACGGCGAGCGCCCCCGGAGGCCUUCAAACCCUGCAUCUUUGCGUCGGAGUUUAAGUAAAUUAAACAAAACUUUCAACAACGGAUCUCUUGGUUCUGGCAUCGAUGAAGAACGCAGCGAAAUGCGAUAAGUAAUGUGAAUUGCAGAAUUCAGUGAAUCAUCGAAUCUUUGAACGCACAUUGCGCCCUUUGGUAUUCCGAAGGGCAUGCCUGUUCGAGCGUCAUUUCACCACUCAAGCCUCGCUUGGUAUUGGGCGCCGCGGUCUGUCCGCGCGCCUCAAAGUCUCCGGCUGAGCUGUCCGUCUCUAAGCGUUGUGAUUUCAUUAAUCGCUUGGGAGUGCGGGCGGCCGCGGCCGUUAAAUCUUUCACACGGUUGACCUCGGAUCAGGUAGGGAUACCCGCUG
rnacentral:rRNA from 1 species